rnacentral:rRNA from 1 species
UACGUAGGGGGCGAGCGUUACCCGGAAUCACUGGGCGUAAAGGGUGCGUAGGCGGCCGCGUGUGUCUGGCGUAAAAUACCACGGCUCAACCGUGGGAAUGCGCUGGAAACUACGUGGCUUGGGUGCGGCAGAGGCAGACGGAACUGCUGGUGUAGGGGUGAAAUCCGUAGAUAUCAGCAGGAACGCCGGUGGAGAAGUCGGUCUGCUGGGCCGUAACCGACGCUGAGGCACGAAAGCUAGGGGAGCAAACCGG